rnacentral:lncRNA from 1 species
GAUAAUAUUUACGUAAUUUAAAAAAAAAUAUGUACUCAUUAAUAUAGAUACACUCGCAACGCGUGUAUCGUAAAGCUAGUACAUUAAAAAAGCCAGUCCUUAAUAAAUGCUUAGAUGUCUCGUUAUAUUGGAAACAAGACUAACAAAUUGGAUAUAAGUAACUAUCUUGUGAACACGUAAAACUUUUGCACACAGUUUUAGUAUGGCUCCUUCUUUCUUAGACUACAUGCUUUGACAUAAUUAUACAUAUUUUAGUUCUCAUCCCUCGAAGGUACCUAUUAUUAAAACAAAACAGGAGAUAAUUAACACACAUACAACAACAACGCGUCUUAGUUCCAAACAAGUUGGAUCAGCUAUAUAACUCUUCACUGCUGAUGUUAUUCCAUUUAAUCUCAUCUCAUGUCAAUAUUAUACAAUUACAAAUAAAAGAUAUUAGAAGUUCUCUGUAGUUUAUGAACAUAUAAAUCUCUUAAUGGCUAAACCACUCCUAGAAAGCACACGAUCUAUAGUAAAAGUGCUAACAUGUUUAAACCAUAUUCUCAACUAAUAGGUAUCGCCUAUAUAGAACUUUUUCUUUCAUUGUGCCUUAUUGUUCCUUAAGUCUGCAGGGAUCUAUAAAGAUCGUUGGUCUUUUGAGGUAACUUCCUUCCAUGUGAUUUUUGGUCUACUGCAUCCUCUUUUAACACGUCAACUCACUAUAGUUUCACAUCUACGGACCGGUGCAUCAGAGGUCGAGAUAGGACAUGACAGAACCAUAUCAAGCGACCUUCUCUCAUUUUAUCCUUGAUUUGUGCUACUUGAACCUUCUCGUGAAUAUGGU